UACGGAGGGUGCGAGCGUUGUCCGGAAUCACUGGGCGUAAAGGGCGCGUAGGUGGCGACGCAAGUCAACGGUGAAAGCUCGACGCUCAACGUCGAGUCGGCCGUCGAUACUGCAUCGCUGGAGCACUGUAGAGGCAGAUGGAAUUCCGGGUGUAGAGGUGAAAUUCGUAGAUAUUCGCAAGAACACCAGUGGCGAAGGCGGCUCACUGGCCCGGUACUGACGCUGAGGUGCGAAAGCGUGGGGAGCAAACAGG
rnacentral:rRNA from 1 species